UCUUAUGGGUGAGCAAAGACAAUGUUUUCUUGAGAUGGAAUCUAAUCCUGGUGAAGAUGCUGUGAA
rnacentral:pre_miRNA from 4 species